rnacentral:rRNA from 1 species
AGAAUCAACGCUGGCGGCGUGCCUAACACAUGCAAGUCGAACGAGAAAGUGGAGCAAUCCAUGAGUACAGUGGCGUACGGGUGAGUAACACGUGACUACCUACCCUCGAGUGGGGAAUAACCUCGGGAAACCGGGCUAAUACCGCAUAACAUCUACGGAUCAAAUGCGUAAGCAGCUUGAGGAGGGGGUCGCGGCCGAUUAGCUAGUUGGUGAGGUAAUGGCUCACCAAGGCAAUGAUCGGUA